rfam:Myotis lucifugus cont2.13451, whole genome shotgun sequence.
GGUGGUUCUCGAAUGACACAUCUCAGAAUCGGGCUCCCUCCUCUCUGAUUCUGGGUGCGUCACCCGAGAACCGCA